rnacentral:antisense_RNA from 1 species
CGUUCUCUUUCGUCUCCGCUUUUUUCCCCACAUUUCCUUGCGCCCCUGGCCCUUGGGCGACAAAAAGGGGAAGCCAGGGCUGGCCUGAGGAACGGAGAGGGCACAUGGCCUAACCACGAGUGGAGCUUCUGCUCCGCCCGAAGGGAUGCGCUGGAGCGGCCUCUUCCUUCCGUCACGGUCUUUCUUUGCCAACUAGUAGGUGGAGACUGGACCUCAGAGAGGGAGUGGGUGCCCUGAGAACUCACAGCUGGCGGACAGCGGAAAGGGCAGAACCCGGACCAAGGUGAGGACAGCGGAACUGAAGUUCUGCUGGUUACCUCUCCUGCCCUCCGCUGGCCGCACUGGAGAAGACAGCCCCUCCCUCCUGCUCUGACCUGACAGUGUUCAUCCAUCGCCCUCUAUUAGGGAAGAACAACAUCAAGCUGGCUAGCAAGGAACUGUAUACAGGGUCCAGCUGGGUAUCACACUGGAUCUCACCCAAAGCUGAGAUGUGAUCCAGCUCAGUAUCACAAAGCAGAACGAAAAGGAUGUGUUCGGGCUGAGAGGCAAUACAUUGGUAAGUGGCACAUGAACUGUAUUUUCUAUUGAGCAUUGCUGGUAUAUGGCAAAUUUGCAUAAAAUUAUAUUGAAAUUGA